rnacentral:rRNA from 1 species
UACGUAGGGUGCAAGCGUUGUCCGGAAUUAUUGGGCGUAAAGAGCUCGUAGGCGGUUUGUCGCGUCGGCUGUGAAAACUCGGGGCUCAACCCCGAGCCUGCAGUCGAUACGGGCAGACUAGAGUGCUGUAGGGGAGACUGGAAUUCCUGGUGUAGCGGUGAAAUGCGCAGAUAUCAGGAGGAACACCAAUGGCGAAGGCAGCUCGCUGGGACGUUACUGACGCUGAGACGCGAAAGCGUGGGGAGCAAACAGG